rnacentral:rRNA from 1 species
GACGAACGCUGGCGGCGUGCUUAACACAUGCAAGUCGAACGGAGUGGCGAACGGGUGAGUAACACGUGGGUGAUCUGCCUUGCACGUCGGGAUAAGCUUGGGAAACUGGGUCUAAUACCGGAUAGUGCAAGAUGAGCUCGCGGCCUAUCUGCUUGUUGGUGGGGUAAUGGCCUACCACGGCGUCGAAGGGUAGCCGGCCUGGGAGGGUGUACGGCCACAUUGGGACUGAGGUAGGGCGCAGCCGCCUACGGGGGGCAGCGGUGGGGAAUAUGGCACAGUGGGCGGGAGCGUGGUGCAGCGGCGCCGGGUGGGGGAUGAAGGCCUUCGGGUUGUGAACGCCUUUCGACUGGGACGCGGUACCUGUAUAAGAAGCACCGGCUAACUACGUGCCAGCAGCCGCGGUAAUUC